rnacentral:rRNA from 1 species
AAUGAACGUUGGCGGCGUGGAUUAGGCAUGCAAGUCGAGCGAGAACUAGUAGCAAUACUGGUGAAAGCGGCGAAAGGGAGAGUAAUACGUAGGUACCUGCCCUCGGGUCUGGGAUAGCUGCGGGAAACUGCAAUUAAUACCGGAUGACGUCUCUGGACCAAAGGUGUGAUUCCGCCAGGGGAUGGGCCUGCGUCCUAUUAGCUAGUUGGCGGGGUAAUAGCCCACCAAGGCAAAGAUGGGUACGGGGUGUGAGAGCAUGCCCCCGCUCACUGGGACUGAGACACUACCCAGACACCUACGGGUGGCUGCAGGAGGGGGUCUGCCGCAAUGGGCGCAAGCGUGACGGAGCGACGCCGCGUGCGGGAUGAAGGCCUUCGGGUUGUAAACCGCUGUCAGUGGGGAGCAAAUGCAUCAGGGUUCUCCCUGGUGUUUGAGCGAUCCGCAGAGGAAGCACAGGCUAAUUCCGUGCCAGCAGCCGCCGUAACAC